rnacentral:rRNA from 1 species
AGUGAACGCUGGCGGUAGGCCUAACACAUGCAAGUCGAACGGCAGCACAGUAAGAGCUUGCUCUUACGGGUGGCGAGUGGCGGACGGGUGAGGAAUACAUCGGAAUCUACUUUUUCGUGGGGGAUAACGUAGGGAAACUUACGCUAAUACCGCAUACGACCUACGGGUGAAAGCAGGGGAUCUUCGGACCUUGCGCGAUUGAAUGAGCCGAUGUCGGAUUAGCUAGUCGGCGGGGUAAAGGCCAACCAAGGCGACGAUCCGUAGCUGGUCUGAGAGGAUGGUCAGCCGCACGAGAGCUUGAACACGGUCCAGGCUCCUGCGGGAGGCAGCAGUGGGGAAUAUGAGGCAAUGGGCGCGAGCCUGGUCCAGCGAUACCGCGUGUGUGGAGAAGACCUUCGGGUUGUAAAGCCCUUUUGUUGGGAGAGAAAAGCAGCAGGUUAAUACCCCGCUGUUCUGACGGUACCCAAUGAAGAAGCACCGGCUAACUUCGUG